CAGAAUCAAGUCAAAUGUCUUUAAAUAUCUGUGCUCAGAGUUUCCCAGAGCAACCAGCACUGCUCACCAUUGCCCUGCACUGUUCUGCACUGUUCUGCAUGUCAGAGCCAGAGUGGAAGUGGGAGCAGUGGUGAAGGAAGAGUUCAGACAGAGCAGCUCCUCAGCGCUGUGUGAAAUGAGUGCACACGGCUGCACUGUCAGACUGUUAGAGAGUUAAAGCCUGGCAGCAGCACUUUCACACUGCUGAGGAACAGCAGGAGAACUUUAAGAUCCAGAAAACCACAAACUGGGGCAGAAUGAAUGGACCCUUGAGUCCGAGGCGAGAACCAGGGCCUGACCUCUCCUGUCUGCAGCAGUACAGCGAGUGGCUGUCCUGCAGGCAUGAAGCCAGCCUACUGCCCAUGAAGGAGGACCUCGCUCUCUGGCUUAACACCAUCCUGGGGCUGAAUAUAACAGCGGAGAACUUCAUGGAUGUGCUGGAGAAUGGAGCGGUUCUCUGCCAGCUGGCUGAAGAGCUCCAGGAGAGGAUGAUUCUGGUCAACAGUGGCAAGCCCUUUAUUCGGCGUGUGAUUCGCUGGCGAGCUGAUGCCGCCCCGGGUUCCUUCUUUGCCCGGGACAACACGGCCAACUUCCUGUACUGGUGCCGAAAAGUUGGGGUGGGCGAGUCUCAUCUCUUUGAGUCAGAGGAUCUGGGUGAGUAACAGUACA
rnacentral:lncRNA from 1 species